rnacentral:lncRNA from 1 species
AUGAUCUUUUUUACACCCUUUUUAACAUAAUACCCCACAAUGCUCACAUCCCUACUACACCCAUUUUAUAAAAACACCUCAUAAUGCCCCAUUGCUGACUAAAAUAGCACAUGGCACAAAACGUCAAGGGUGGGGCAUUAUUUGUGUCUUUCCACUACACAAUCUUAGUAAGAGUCGGCGUUUCAAAGUCUUAAAAAUCAAAGCUUUGGUUUUGGAAUAAAAGUACAUAAACAUAAUUUUUGCAUCUGUUUAUAAGUUAUACUAGGUUAUAACCCCGUGUAUUACACGGGUUGAAUAAAUAAAUUUUAUAUACUAAAUAAUAAAACAAUAUAUAUUUAAAAACCUCAUUUAUUGCGCGGGUUAAAUAAAUAUAAUUUUAUAUAUUAAAUAAUAAAAAGUUAUAUUUAUCAGAACCAUAUUGUACGAAUUAAAUAAAUGUAGUUUUAUAUACCAAAUAAAAAAGUUAUAUCUUUAAAACCACGUGUAUUACACGGGUUGAAUAAAUGUAAUAUUGUUUAC